rnacentral:rRNA from 1 species
UACAGAGGGUGCGAGCGUUAAUCGGAAUUACUGGGCGUAAAGCGCGCGUAGGCGGCUUUGUAAGUCGGAUGUGAAAUCCCCGGGCUUAACCUGGGAACUGCAUUCGAGACUGCAUUGCUAGAGUAUGGGAGAGGGAAGUGGAAUUUCCGGUGUAGCGGUGAAAUGCGUAGAUAUCGGAAGGAACAUCAGUGGCGAAAGCGACUUCCUGGACCAAUACUGACGCUCAUGUGCGAAAGCGUGGGGAGCAAACAGG